UGAGGAAUUUUGCGCAAUGGGGGGAACCCUGACGCAGCAACGCCGCGUGGGUGAUGAAGGCCUUCGGGUCGUAAAGCCCUGUCGGGCGGGAAGAACGUCCCUUCGGGGAAUGACGGUACCGCCAGAGGAAGCACCGGCUAACUCCGUGCCAGCAGCCGCGGUAAUACGGAGGGUGCAAGCGUUAUUCGGCAUUAAUGGGCGUAAAGGGCGUGCAGGCGGGAGAGCAAGUCUGAUGUGAAAGCCCGGGGCUUAACCCCGGAAGGGCAUGGGAAACUGCUUUUCGUGAGUUCGGGAGAGGAAGGGAGAAUUCCCGGUGUAGAGGUGAAAUUCGUAGAGAUCGGGAGGAACAUCAGUGGCGAAGGCGCCCUUCUGGACAGCAACUGACGCUGAGACGCGAAAGCGUGGGGAGCAAACA
rnacentral:rRNA from 1 species